GGGUCAGUAGGUUGGUCGUGCCACCGGUACGUACUGGUCUCACUGAUUUCUCCUUCCUGAAGAACCGUAAUGCCAUUAAUUUGGUGUUGCGGGGAAACAGGACUGUUACUUUGAAAAAAUUAGAGUGUUUAAAGCAAGCUAACGCUUGAAUACAUUAGCAUGGAAUAAUGAAAUAGGACGAUCGAUCCUAUUUUGUUGGUUUCUAGGAUUGACGGA
rnacentral:rRNA from 1 species